rnacentral:misc_RNA from 1 species
UCACAUCGACAGAUUCCCAUAUUCCGCCGCUACGGGCGUGUGAGAAUUCCGCGCACGGCCGACUUAACACCAGCAAAUCCGGCACAAUCGUGAUGACAACGACAAAUCGGUUGGCGGCGGGCGGCUGCGACUAUAUUCAUGGAUUUGCAGACGUUUUAGGAGACAUACACAGCUAAUGGCAUCUCUCGACUCGGUCAGCAUUGCCAUUCUGCUCGGCUCGGU